GACGGAGGGUGCUAGCGUUGUUCGGAAUUACUGGGCGUAAAGAGCGCGUAGGCGGCCUGGUCAGUCGGAUGUGAAAGCCCGGGGCUCAACCCCGGAACGGCAUCCGAGACGGCCAGGCUGGAGACCGGGAGAGGAGAGUGGAAUAGCCAGUGUAGAGGUGAAAUUCGUAGAUAUUGGCUGGAACACCGGUGGCGAAAGCGGCUCUCUGGCCCGGUUCUGACGCUGAGGCGCGAAAGCGUGGGGAGCAAACAGG
rnacentral:rRNA from 1 species